rnacentral:lncRNA from 1 species
CUCAUUAUUAAUAAUGGCAAAACUUUGAGUAUAUGCUAAGAAAUAAAUAAUAUAUUUCAAGAAAUAGAAAUAAUGUAUCAUGAAGUAAUAACUUAAGCACAAAAAUAUAUACUUCAAAGAGAUUUUUAACGGGCCUUCAAUUUAUUGUACAUCAUUAGUUUAUUAUAUAUUAUUGCAUAUACUCAUAUCAAAAUUAUAGAUCAAUUCAAAUCAAUGAG